UUGAGUUUGUUCUUGGUUCAGGACAACCGCGGGCGGGGGGUUUAACCCAUCCAAUUCAAACGAGGAAGUUCCAGCUUGUUGGGGUGGAUUAUUGGGGAACGGGUAAUUAACACGUGAUUACCUUCCCCUCCAUUUUGGGUUAACCCUGGGAAAGGAGGUUUAAUACGGGAUAUUCAAACAGGGUGGCAGGGUGGGGUGGGGAAAGAUUUUUUGGUGGGGGAUGGACUCGCGGCCUAUCAGCUUGUUGGUGAGGUAGUGGCUCACCAAGGCUUUGACGGGUAGCCGGCCUGAGAGGGUGACCGGCCACACUGGGACUGAGACACGGCCCAGACUCCUACGGGAGGCAGCAGUGGGGAAUAUUGCACAAUGGGCGAAAGCCUGAUGCAGCGACGCCGCGUGAGGGAUGACGGCCUUCGGGUUGUAAACCUCUUUCAGUAGGGACGAAGCGAGAGUGACGGUACCUGCAGAAGAAGCACCGGCUAACUACGUGCCAGCAGCCGCGGUAAUACGUAGGGUGCGAGCGUUGUCCGGAAUUAUUGGGCGUAAAGAGCUUGUAGGCGGUUUGUCGCGUCUGCUGUGAAAGACCGGGGCUUAACUCCGGUUCUGCAGUGGGUACGGGCAGGCUAGAGUAUGGUAGGGGAGACUGGAAUUCCUGGUGUAGCGGUGAAAUGCGCAGAUAUCAGGAGGAACACCGAUGGCGAAGGCAGGUCUCUGGGCCAUUACUGACGCUGAGAAGCGAAAGCAUGGGGAGCAAACAGGAUUAGAUACCCUGGUAGUCCAUGCCGUAAACGUUGGGCGCUAGGUGUGGGACUCAUUCCACGAGUUCCGUGCCGCAGCUAACGCAUUAAGCGCCCCGCCUGGGGAGUACGGCCGCAAGGCUAAAACUCAAAGGAAUUGACGGGGGCCCGCACAAGCGGCGGAGCAUGCGGAUUAAUUCGAUGCAACGCGAAGAACCUUACCAAGGCUUGACAUACACCGGAAGCAUGCAGAGAUGUGUGUGCCUUUUGGCUGGUGUACAGGUGGUGCAUGGUUGUCGUCAGCUCGUGUCGUGAGAUGUUGGGUUAAGUCCCGCAACGAGCGCAACCCUCGUUCCAUGUUGCCAGCACGUAAUGGUGGGGACUCAUGGGAGACUGCCGGGGUCAACUCGGAGGAAGGUGGGGAUGACGUCAAAUCAUCAUGCCCCUUAUGUCUUGGGCUUCACGCAUGCUACAAUGGCUGGUACAGAGGGCUGCGAUACCGUGAGGUGGAGCGAAUCCCUUAAAACCGGUCUCAGUUCGGAUUGGGGUCUGCAACUCGACCCCAUGAAGUUGGAGUCGCUAGUAAUCGCAGAUCAGCAGUGC
rnacentral:rRNA from 1 species